GAAGCUGACCAGACAGUCGCCGCUUCGUCGUCGUCCUCUUCGGGGGAGACGGGCGGAGGGGAGGAAAGUCCGGGCUCCAUAGGGCAGGGUGCCAGGUAACGCCUGGGGGGGAAACCCACGACCAGUGCAACAGAGAGCAAACCGCCGAUGGCCCGCGCAAGCGGGAUCAGGUAAGGGUGAAAGGGUGCGGUAAGAGCGCACCGCGCGGCUG
rnacentral:RNase_P_RNA from 1 species